rnacentral:rRNA from 1 species
UUGCUCCUUAACUUAGUGGCGCACGGGUGAGUAACGCGUGGAUAAUCUGCCCUGGUAUCUGGGAUAACAUCUCGAAAGGGGUGCUAAUACCGGAUAAGCCCACGGGGUCUUCGGACCUUGCGGGAAAAGGUGGCCUCUGAAUAUGCUACUGUACCAGGAUGAGUCCGCGUCCCAUUAGCUAGUUGGCGGGGUAACGGCCCACCAAGGCGACGAUGGGUAGCUGGUCUGAGAGGAUGAUCAGCCACACUGGAACUGAGACACGGUCCAGACUCCUACGGGAGGCAGCAGUGGGGAAUUUUGCGCAAUGGGGGAAACCCUGACGCAGCAACGCCGCGUGAGUGAUGAAGGCCUUCGGGUCGUAAAGCUCUGUCAGAGGGAAAGAAGUGUAUUAUGGUUAAUACCCAUGAUACUUGACGGUACCCUCAAAGGAAGCACCGGCUAACUCCGUGCCAGCAGCCGCGGUAAUACGGAGGGUGCGAGCGUUGUUCGGAAUUAUUGGGCGUAAAGCGCGUGUAGGCGGUUUUUUAAGUCUGAUGUGAAAGCCCUGGGCUCAACCUGGGAAGUGCAUUGGAAACUGGGAGACUUGAAUAC